UAGCCGUAAACGAUACUCGCUAGGUGUCGGCCACGGUGCGACCGUUGUCGGUGCCGUAGGGAAGCCGUGAAGCGAGCCACCUGGGAAGUACGGCCGCAAGGCUGAAACUUAAAGGAAUUGGCGGGGGAGCACAACAACGGGUGGAGCUUGCGGUUUAAUUGGAAUCAACGCCGGAAAUCUUACCGGGACCGACAGCAACAUGAAGGCCAAGCUGAAGACUUUGCCGGAUUAGCUGAGAGGAGGUGCAUGGCGUAGUCGUGU
rnacentral:rRNA from 1 species